AUUGAACGCUGGCGGCAGGCUUAACACACGCAAGUCGAGCGGGGGAAGGUAGCUUGCUACCGGACCUAGCGGCGGACGGGUGAGUAAUGCUUAGGAAUCUGCCUAUUAGUGGGGGACAACAUCUCGCAAGGGAUGCUAAUACCGCAUACGUCCUACGGGAGAAAGCAGGGGAUCUUCGGACCUUGCGCUAAUAGAUGAGCCUACGUCGGAUUGGCUAGUUGGUGGGGUAACGGCCUACCAAGGCGACGAUCUGUAGCUGGUCUGGGUGAAUGAUCGGCCACACGGGGACUGGAGCACGGCACAGCCUCCGGCGGAGGGGAGCAGUGGGGAAUAUUGGACAAUGGGGGGAACCCUGAUCCGGUGAUGCCGCGUGUGUGAAGAAGGCCUUAUGGUUGUAACGCACUUUAAGCGAGGAGGAGGCUACUUUAGUUAAUACCUAGAGAUAGUGGACGUUACGCGCAGAAUAAGCACCGGCCAACUCUGUGCCAGCCGCCGCGGUAA
rnacentral:rRNA from 1 species